UACACACCGCCCGUCACACCAUGGGAGUGGGUUUCACCAGAAGUAGUUAGCCUAACCGCAAGGAGAUAGCCGUCCAAGGUAUGAAUGGUGAUUGGGGUG
rnacentral:rRNA from 1 species